rnacentral:lncRNA from 1 species
AUCUUCAGUUUCAAUAAUACAUUGCUUGAAGUUUUAGCCUACCUUUCUUAGUGUUGAUUUUGUAUUCAUCUGAUUUAAUAAAAAUUUUGCUAGCUUUUUUAUUGAAACUUUUUUUUUUUUUUUUUUUUUUUUUUUUUGGUCUUUUGUAUAGUGUAUCUAUGACAAUUUGUCAAGAUUGUUCUAUUAAUAAUACUAGAGCUUGAUCCUUGUUGGUAAAAAAUAGAUUAUUACUCUUUUUGAAGCCAUUUAAGCGCUUUAGAGGUUGUAGAGUAUCAUCUUCUAAAUUGGUAUUAUUUAUUUAUUUAUUUAUUUUCUUUCAAGAUUAUUGGAAGUGAAGAUGUUAGUAUGGUUGAGUCUCUUAAGUCCAAGUUAGAUGUUAUUAUGA